GUGAACGCUGGCGGUAGGCCUAACACAUGCAAGUCGAACGGCAGCACAGUAAGAGCUUGCUCUUACGGGUGGCGAGUGGCGGACGGGUGAGGAAUACAUCGGAAUCUACUUUUUCGUGGGGGAUAACGUAGGGAAACUUACGCUAAUACCGCAUACGACCUACGGGUGAAAGCAGGGGAUCGUCGGACCUUGCGCGAUUGAAUGAGCCGAUGUCGGAUUAGCUAGUUGGCGGGGUAAAGGCCCACCAAGGCGACGAUCCGUAGCUGGUCUGAGAGGAUGAUCAGCCACACUGGAACUGAGACACGGUCCAGACUCCUACGGGAGGCAGCAGUGGGGAAUAUUGGACAAUGGGCGCAAGCCUGAUCCAGCCAUACCGCGUGGGUGAAGAAGGCCUUCGGGUUGUAAAGCCCUUUUGUUGGGAAAGAAAAGCAGCAGGUUAAUACCCCGCUGUUCUGACGGUACCCAAAGAAUAAGCACCGGCUAACUUCGUG
rnacentral:rRNA from 1 species